GGAAGGGCAAGCCGAUGGGCGACGGCACCCGGCUACUACCCGGGCGAGCGCUGAGCCUUGAGGGUUCGACUCCCUCUCCUUCCG
rnacentral:tRNA from 1 species